CUCCACCUCCUUCCUCCCACCCCCGUCCGACCACCUACCACGGCUGCGACCGCCUGAGCCGGCAGGAUCCUCCUCCCGUGCCUGACCGGCGACGCGCGCGAGGUGAGUCGCCCCUCACCCCUCACCCCGGUGCCCCACCCCCUCCCGGCUCUGGCGUGCCCCGGUGGUCUGCCUCGUGCUCCUUUCCGGAUCCGUCUUCCGUCUCGCCCGUGGGCACCGGGGCCGCCGCGUCGACCAUGGGGAGAAAAAACGACUGCGCCCGAAUCCCUUUCUCAUCGAGCUGCAUCUCCCCCUGGAGGCCAUGGCUGUCGCGACACCAUGUCCUCGUCCAGAUCGGGGCCAUGGCUGCCUCCCCCAAGCUCCUCCUUCCCUCGCCGGCGAUGAGAGUACGGGGAGUCACGCUACAAUUUUUCUCUUUUCGGAACCAUCGAUGACCGCGGUGCAACCCACAUGUGUUUUGUUUGAAUUUUUUUGCAUCGGCUGCAGUUUUACUCAAGAAGAGAAGUUCACAUUGUUCUUGAAAGGUUCUGUGCAGCUCAUCGCCAGCGGCAGCGUGCGGUUUUGAUUCGAGGAGCGUGCAGCUCAGUUCCGCAUCAGGGAUCCACGCCCAUGUGCCUCCAGCCGUGCAUCUCGUCGGCAGGAUUUUUUGCUUGAGAGGAGAACUACGGGCAGUGAUUCUUGCAACUCUGUUCGCAUUUUUUUGCUCGGGAAUGAACAAGAUGCGCAGCUGACUGUACAUAAUUGUGCAGCUCGCUGGACCCUAUUGGGAGUUCUAAAAAAAGUGCAGCCCCUUAGUGGUUCACCUUGUAGAAAAAGAGAAAAAAAUCCCCACGGGAGGUUCACUUCUUUAUUGAAUGCAAUUUGUUUUGUUUGUGAGAUGAUUGGAAAAAGUAGAUCACUCCAAUUUGUGUAGCAGCUCGUUACCCCUAUGUAUCAAGUGCAAUUUGUUUCGUGUGUUCAAUCGAUUACAUCAACACA